UACUUCAGAAACUUAAGGUGUCAGGG
rnacentral:piRNA from 1 species